rnacentral:rRNA from 1 species
UACGUAGGGGCAAGCGUUGUCCGGAUUCAUUGGGCGUAAAGGGUGCGUAGGCGGCGCGGUAAGUCGGGUGUGAAAUCUCGGAGCUUAACUCCGAAACUGCAUUCGAUACUGCCGUGCUUGAGGACUGGAGAGGAGACUGGAAUUUACGGUGUAGCGGUGAAAUGCGUAGAUAUCGUAAGGAAGACCAGUGGCGGAAGGCGGGUCUCUGGACAGUUCCUGACGCUGAGGCACGAAGGCCAGGGGAGCAAACGGG